AAGUGACGACAUUCAGUUAUUUGAGUAUUUUUAAUUAUUAUUUUACAGUAUUUUAGUUAGUUUUAGAAGUAUUACAUGGUCACAAAGAAGAAUUUAUGAAGAAAUUGACAUUUAAAAGAGUUUGAAGACUAAAGACCAAAGGAGAUAAAACUUAGAAAAAAAUUCAAGUUUUAGAAGUAAGUCUCGCGUGAGUUCUCUGUUUUUCUCGCGUCGCGACAAGUUUUCAAUAGGGGUGCGAUUUCAUGUUCCCACAAGCACAUGAUGUCAGCCACGCGUCACCUAGGGAGACAACUUGCAACAGCAUGACACGAUUUGAUUACUUAUGAAUGACGUGUUAGUCAAAUCCAAUUUGUGGGAUUUGAUCUAAAUUUAUAUGGCACAAUUUUAACACGUUAUGCAGCCUAUAUAUAGGCCUUUUGAUCAUAGAAAA
rnacentral:lncRNA from 1 species